GACGUGACUUCAGAGUUUGAUCCUGGCUCAGGACGAACGCUGGCGGCGUGCCUAACACAUGCAAGUCGAGCGGAGCCAACCAAACAAUCCCUUCGGGGUGCGUUUGGGGAAGCUUAGCGGCGGACGGGUGAGUAACACGUGAGUAACCUGCCCCAAAGAGGAGGAUAACAUACCGAAAGGUAUGCUAAUACUGCAUAACAUAUAUUUACCGCAUGGUAGAAAUAUCAAAGAUUUAUCGCUUUGGGAUGGACUCGCGGCCGAUUAGGUAGUUGGUGAGGUAAUGGCUCACCAAGCCGACGAUCGGUAGCCGGACUGAGAGGUUGAACGGCCACAUUGGGACUGAGACACGGCCCAG
rnacentral:rRNA from 1 species